UACGUAGGGUGCAAGCGUUGUCCGGAAUUAUUGGGCGUAAAGAGCUUGUAGGCGGCCUGUUGCGUCCGCUGUGAAAUCCCGGGGCUUAACCCCGGGCGUGCAGUGGAUACGGGCAGACUAGAGGCAGGUAGGGGAGAAUGGAAUUCCCGGUGUAGCGGUGAAAUGCGCAGAUAUCGGGAGGAACACCAGUAGCGAAGGCGACUACCUGGACCAGCACUGACACUGAGGCACGAAAGCGUGGGGAGCAAACAGG
rnacentral:rRNA from 1 species